rnacentral:rRNA from 1 species
AACGAACGCUGGCGGCAGGCUUAACACAUGCAAGUCGAGCAGCGGCGGACGGGUUAGUAACGCGUGGGAACGUGCCCUCUCUACGGAAUAGCCUCGGGAAACUGAGAUUAAUGCCGUAUAGGGAGGAUCGGCCCGCGUUGGAUUAGGUAGUUGGUGGGGUAAUGGCCUACCAAGCCGACGAUCCAUAGCUGGUUUGAGAGGAUGAUCAGCAACACUGGGACUGAGACACGGCCCAGACUCCUACGGGAGGCAGCAGUGGGGAAUCUUGGACAAUGGGCGCAAGCCUGAUCCAGCCAUGCCGCGUGAUCGAUGAAGGCCUUAGGGUUGUAAAGAUCUUUCAGCUGGGAAGCGGUACCAGCAGAAGAAGCCCCGGCUAACUCCGUGCCAGCAGCCGCGGUAAUAC